AGUCGCCUCAGCCGCGGUGUGAGGGAGCGGGAGUCUUCCUUAGCUUCUCCGCCAUGGGUGUCGCUUCGUAGCCGGGCUGCUCCGGGAAAGGCCUCGUACAGCACGCAUUCACCAGAAUCCUGUCAGCUUUCCUCUUCUCAUCCAGACGCCUGGCCAGGAUCCUCGAUAAGACCGUGACCCCCAACUUGGACACCCCAUAAGCUUUGUUCUCAGAAACUUGGCGGCUACAAGGAAUUAAAUGUGAAUGGGAAAGGAAGAAAGAAAAACACAGAUCAUAGAAGCUGUGCCUUCGAGGAAAUAAAUCCUCUUAAGGGGAGGAGGUGUCCUCUUUGAUCUGAGGGCACACCUCUGGGAGAGAGGCCAGAGGCUGACAGUCAGCCUCGUCAGCCAGAUGCGUCAUCAGCCCUGGGAAGGGCUGCACCCACACCACCCUCCACUGAGGUCCAGGUGGCCCCACCGGUCCCGAAACACCUGCUGCCUUACUCUAGAAAGAGUAGGCAAGUUGCGCCCUCUAGUGGCUUAGUAGUUGCUUGUCCUAUUGACUCAGAACCUUGAACAAAUAAGCAAGUCAAAUACAGAUAGAUGGUCCCUGCCCUCUGAUGGUUCCACUUAGGACUUACUGACUUCACUGAUGGAUGAGGAAGCGAUAUGCAUUCUGCAGAAUCUGUACUUGGAGGCCCCAUACAACCAUUCUGCAUUUCACUUUCAGUACAGAUUCAAUAAAUUACAUAAGAUACUCAACAUUUUAUGAUAAAAUAGGCUUUGUGUUAGAUGACUUUGCCAGACUAUAGGCUAAUGUAAGCGUUCAAAGCACCUUGAAGCUAGACGAGGCUGACCUAUGGUGUUUGGUAGGUCAGAUGCGUUAAAUGCAUUUUUUUUUUUUUUUGAGACAAGGACUUGCUCUGUCGCCCAGGCUAGAGUACAGUGGCACAAUCAUAGCUCACUGCAGCCUCAACCUCCUGGGCCCAAGCGAUCCUCCCACCUCAGUCUCUCGAGAAGCUGGAACAUGCCACUAUGCCCAGCUAAUUUUUAAUUUUCAUUUUUUGUGUAGAGCUGGGGUCUCCAUAUGUUGCUCAGGAUUAAGUCCAUUCUUAUGAUAUUUUCUUUUCUUUCUUUCUUUCUUUUUUUUUUUUUUUUUUUGAGAUGGAGUGUGGCUCUGUCGCCCAGGCUGGAGUGCAGUGGCGCGAUCUGGGCUCACUGCAAGUUCCGCCUCCCGGGUUCAUGCCAUUCUCCUGCCUCAGCCUCCCGACUAGCUGGGACUACAGGUGCCCACCACCAUGCCUGGCUAAUUUUUUUGUAUUUUUAGUAGAGAUGGGGUUUCACCGUGUUAGCCAGGAUGGUCUCGAUCUCCUGACCUCGUGGUCUGCCUGCCUUGGCCUCCCAAAGUGCUAGGAUUACAGGUGUGAGCCACUGUGCCCGGCCACAAAAACUUCUUAACCUAAAAAGGUGAAUGGUGAGAAUUGCACUUGUACUCUUGUACUUGCUCAGUUUUUUAGUGGGAUGGGAUCAGAGAAAGCCUGCAGGGAGAACUGCAGGUGCUCUGGAAGGGGAUGGAGUUUUAAAGGUGUCUUAAUACCUUGCAGCUCUCAAGUUCCCAUUCAAAAAUUUAUCGGGAGAAAACUUCCCAACACUGGGUAAAAGACAUCCCUAUAAUGGCUGCGUCCCUAUAUAGCCACAAAAAAGAUAAAAGCUUUCUGACCAAACCUGGAGAGAGCCCCAGACAUAAGGAGUAAAAAAAGCAAAGUGGCAAACAUUGUAUGAAAUGUUACCUUCUGUGUAAAAAGGAGAGUUUUUAAAAUGUGCGUUUAUAUUGGCUCAGAUUUGCAUUUAGAAACUCCAUCCCCUUCAAAGCACCUGCAGUUCUCCCUGCAGGCUUUCUAUGAUCUCAUCCCACUCAGAAACUGACAGAGUACAAGUGCAACUCUCACCAUUCACCUUCUUAGGUUAAGAACUUUUUGCGUCUGAGUGCGGUGGCUCAAGCCUGUAAUCCUAGCAUUUUGGGAGGCCAAGGCGGGUGGAUCACCUGAGGUCAGGAAUUCGAGAUCAAGCUGGCCAACAUGGUGAAACCCUGUCUCUACUAGAAAUACAAAAAAAUUAGCUGGGCGUGGUGGUGCUCGCCUGUAAACCCAGCUACUUGAGAGGCUGGGGCGGAGAAUCUCUCGUACCUGAGAGGCGGAGGUUGCAGCGAGCUGAGCUCAUGCCACUGCACUCCAGUCUGGGCGACGGAGGGAGACUCUGUCUCAGAAAAAAAAAAAAAAAAAAAAAAGGUUUUGCAUCCAGAGAUAAUUUUGUUUGUUUGUUUAAAGUGAUGAGGGUCUUGCCAUAUUUUUCAGCCUGGUCUUAAACUCGUGGGCUCAAGUGAUCCUCCUGCCUCAACCUCCCAAAGUGCUGAGAUUACAGGCAUGAGCCACCACACCCGGCCAAUAAUCCAUAUUCGAAAUGUUAAAUUAAGAAAAGCACACUUCUGGCCAGGUGCAGUAGCUCACACCUGUAAUCCCAGCACUUUGGGAGGCUGAGGCAGAUGAAUCACUUGAGGUCAGGAGUUCGAGACCAGCCUGGCCAACAUGGCAAAGCCCUGUCUCUACUAAAAAUAUAAAAAUUAGCCGGGCGUAGCGGCACACGCCUGUAGUCCCAGCUACUCAGGAGGCUAAGGCAGGAGAAUCCCUUGAACCCAGAAGGUGGAGGUUGCAGUGAGCUGAGAUCCUGUCACUGCACUCCAGCCUGGGCAACAGAGCGAAACUCUGUCAAAAAAAAAAAAAAAAAAAGAAAAAGCAAGCACAUUUUUAAUAAAAACCACAGUUCUAAGAAUCCACAGUUAACUUCUUGGGGAAUAAAAUCCUCAAGGAAGCAAGCUUCCCUGUACCCCAGCACAGCUGUCAUUUCACACUUCAGAUUCUUUGCUAAUGGAUAUCUCCCCCACUAGAGUUUCAGCUCCACCAAUGAGAUGGUCCCUGUCUAUAAUGCUCACCAUUGCACACCCAGAUCCCAGCAUAAUGCCUGGAAUAUGGCAGGCACUCCAAUGUUUGUAGGAAAAGUAUAAUAGUAACAUUUAUUGAAUACCUGCAGGUAUAGGCAAGACAUUUCCUAAUAAAGAAAAUUUCUCGUUCGGGCAUGGUGGCUCACACCUGUAAUCCCAGCAUUUUGGGAGGCAGAGGUGGGUGGAUCACUUGAGGUCAGGAGUUUGAGACCAGCCUGGCCAACAUAGUGAAAUCCCAUCUGUACUAAAAAUACAAAAUGAGCUGGGCGUGGUGGUGCACACCUGUAAUCCCAGCUACUCCAGAGGCUGAGACAGGAGAAUCGCUUGAACCUGGGAGGCGGAGACUACAGUGAGCCGAAAUUGUGCCACUGUACUCUAGCCUGGAUGACAGAGCGAGACUCUGUCUCAAAAAAAAAAAAAAAAAAAGAAAAGAAAAAAAAAGAAAAGAAAAUUUCUUUUGGGUUUUCUGAAUCAACUUGAGAAAGUAUGGUAUAAGAAGAAAGGAAUAUAGGAAAAGUUGUAAUGCUAAAACAGAUACCAAGGUCCAGAGAUGAGCUAGAUGUGGGCCCAUCACCUUGGAGGGCUGGAGGACUCAUGAGAUUGACCAGAGGCAAGCGGCCUUUGGGGACUCACAGCAUUCUAUCAUUCUAGGAUUGAGUUCAUGACAUGGAUCCCAAAAGCAUUGUGAUAUGUCACACUUAUCUUUGGAACUUAAAGCUAAGGCUGGGCAUAGUGGCUCACGCCUGUAAUUCUAACACUUUGGGAGGCCAAGGUGGGUGGAUCACCUGAAGGUCAGGAGUUCAGGACUAGCCUGGCCAACAUGGUGAAACCACGUCUCUACUAAAAAUAUAAAAAAUUAGCCGGGUGUGGUAGUGGGUGCCUGUAAUCUCAGCUACUCGGGAGGCUGAGGCAGGAGAAUUGCUUGACCCCGGGAGGUGGAGGUUGCAGUGAGCCAAGAUCACACCAUUGCACUACAGCCUGCACAACAAGAGCAAAAUUUCUUCCCACCACCCACCCCACUGCCAAACAAAACAAAACUAAACUAAACUAAACUAAACUAAACUAAAAUGUUGGAGUGAGAAGCCAAACACUGUGGGAAAAUGAAGCAAUUUUCUAUUUUUCCCCCUUCAGAGAAAUAGCACCCCUGAGUGAUUUCUGCAGGGUAGCCCUGCUCCGGGAAGCCUGUAGCCCACUUCUUACUGAGGGAUGCAACCCGACUGUCCACACGUUGGGCUUACCAUGAGGUUUCAUUAUCGGCAGUAACUCGUUGCACAUGUUUCUAGUGGCAAAAAAAUUUGUCUUCAGUGUCAUCUCAGCUUUAAUGUCAAAGGGCAUUGGAUCAUCACCUUUCAAAAAGAGAAAGAAACAAAAAGAAAGUCAUAUUUUUCCCCCUGAAACUCACAUGACAAAGUGGAUCCUAACUCCUAACAACUAAAGGAAAAACAAGUUAAUUUUAAAACAAUUUUUAAGAACGAGGUCGGUGAUUCUCAAACUUUAGUCUGCAUCCGAAUCACUUGUAGAGCCUGUUAAAACACAGCUUCCUGGGCCUCACCAUUGGAGUUUCUGAUUGCAAAGGGCUGGAGUAAGGGCUCCAGAAUUUGCAUUUUCUUUCCUUCCUUCCUUCCUUCCUUCCUUCCUUCCUUCCUUCCUUCCUUCCUUCCUUCCUUUCUUUCUUUUCUUUUCUUUCUUUCUUUCUCUUUCUUUUCUUCCUCUGUCACCCAGGCUGGAGUGCAGUGGCGCGAUCUCGGCUCACUGCAACCUCCACCUCCUGGGUUCAAGUGAUUCUCCUGCCUCAGCCUCUGGAGUAGCUGGGAUUACAGGCACAUGCCACCACACCCAGCUAAUUUUUUUACUUUUUGCAGAGACAGGGUUUCGCCAUGUUGGCCAGGCUGGUCCCCAACUCCUGACCUCAUGUGAUCCACCCGCCUCGGCUUCCCAAAGUGCUGGGAUUACAGGCGUGAGCCAUCGCACCUGGCCUGAGUUUGCAUUUCUAGGUUCCCAGAUGAUGUGACAGCUACUGGUCUCCAGCCACACCUUGAGAACACUUGGCUUUGACUACCACUUCUUAAACUUAAAGGUGCGUAGGAGGGAGCUGGGGAUUCUGUUGAAAUGCAGAUUUUUUUUUUUUUUUUUUUUUUUUUUUGAGGCAGAGUCUCGCUCUGUCGCCCAGGCUGCAGUGCAGGGGUGCAAUCUCCUCUUCCUGCAACCUCUGCCUCCUGGGUUCAAGCGGUUCUUGUGCCUGAGCCUCCCGAGUAGCUGGGAUUACAGGAGUGAGCCACCAUGCCCAGCUAAUUUUUGUAUUUUUAGUAGAGUUGGUGUUUCACCAUGUUUCCCGGGCUGGUCUUGAACUCCUGACCUCAGGUUAUCUGCCUGCCUCAGCCUCCCAAAGUGCUGGGAUUACAGGCAUGAGCCACCGCGCCCAGCGGAAACGCAGAUUUUGAUUCAGCAGGUGUGGGGCAAGGCGGGAGAUUCUGCCUUGCCAUGAGCGCCCAGGUUUGCAGCUGCUGGUGGUCCAUUCCCCAUACCUUGAAAGGCAAGGGGAAGUCCCUCCGCCUGUCGUCCAGGAAGCCGGGUAUUUAUCCACCAAUCUCUCAGCCCAUGGCUGAGGGCUGCAUUAGGGGGUGUUAAUCCCCACUCCUGCACCCCAGCUCUCAGAAAGCCGGCAGGCUGAGUUGCCCGUGCGGGUCAAAGAAAGUCUCAGGUCCCCAUGCACAACAAUGCGGAGUGCCUAGGGCCAAAGGGAGGGGUGGAGACUUCUGCUCCCCCAUCCUUCAUUUCACUCCCUCUUAGGCUUUUUUUCCCCACUAGGUUGGAGGUGAAGCCGGCCUGUUUAUUUCUCCGUAGUAACUUUUUUUUUUUUUUCAUACGGAGUCUCGCUCUGUCUCCCAGUCUGGAGUGCAGUGGCGCGAUCUCGGCUCACUGCCUCCCAGGUUCAAGCGUUUCUCCUGCCUCGGCCUCCCAAAGUGCUGGCAUUACAGGCGUGAGCCACUGCGCCCUCCUGUAAUUUUCUUCAGUAGUAGUUAGAAUAAGCAAUCUCUUGAUCCCCGCCCCUCUCCUUAAGGAAGAUGCUUUUAAGACCACACGCACGUAUUUUAUAACAAACAUAAGCUCCCCGGGCGGGGGUGGGGGAACGAGAAGGCUCGCUUCCUUUUUGCCAGAGCCUAUCAAAGCUCUGCAUUACACAAAUUGUCAAGUCCACCAAGGGCAAGCGCGCGCUAAUCCUGUUUUAGCGAUUCAUUUCCUUUCCCGAGCAAAUGCCUCCGGGCAUCUAUGAAUGCGCCCUUUCAAGGAAAGCGAAAGCCCAAAGCGAGCGGAGACCGUUUCUUUGCAGAGAAAAUGUUUCUCGCGUUGGAAGGAAAGCUGAUGAACUCUAGCAGGGCGUUGCCCCCUCCCAGGAGGCCAGUUUUCCUGCACACAACAGCGGCUGACAGUUCGGGGAGGGCCCCGGGCCGCGCACAGGCCCUCACAGGCCGGCGGGCGGGGCGCGCUGUUUGUCGCCCGGGCCCGCCUGGGGCUCAGCGAAUCACGGAAAGCGAAAACCGCCUCGCGGGAGGCGUGGGCUGAGCGCAUCCCUAGGGGUCGGCGCCACCCUCCUCGGUCACUCAAGUGGACGGGUGGGGAGCCUGCGGCUGGCCACCUCCGCACCCUCGGAGCGCUCCAGGGGGCCCCAACCCAAGCCCUGCACCUACUCUUGAAGGCGACGGCCGCGUUGUUGACCAGUACGUUGAGCCCCCCGUACUCCUUGCGCAGGAAGUCGCGCAGGGCGCGGAUGCUCUGCAAGUCGUCGAUGUCCAGUUGGUGGAAGCGCGGGCUCAGGCCCUCCGCCUGCAGCUGCUGCACGGCCGCCUGGCCCCGCGCCACGUCCCGCGCG
rnacentral:lncRNA from 10 species